rnacentral:lncRNA from 1 species
CUUUAUUGUCAUUUUAUCUUGUAUAUUUAUAUAUUAGACAAUUACUGAUUAACUGAUUAAAGAUAUUAUUGUAGACGAUCGGCUAUCAAAUAAUAUGAGAUUUAUGUACUUUAAAAUCUACUCUAAAAUAUAUUCCGACAGUUCUACCCCAGAACAGGUUAUUAUCAUUCUACCAUAAACAGCCUCCGACAGUUCUUUCGAAGAAUACAUUCUGACAUUUCUGUCGUUGGAUUGAUAUUGAAAUAUUAAUCAGAAACACAUCCAGCAAUUCUACAAUCAACAGAUUCUAAAAAUUUCUAGCACUAGAACAUAUUGUGAUAGUUCUAUCAGGUCUAUUGUGGGACAUAUUUGUUGCAGGUUAACCCUUUAACACAUACUGUGACAGUUCUAGUUCUUAAAAUGUUUUUUUUAUAAUGAACUAUUUGGAAGAGAGUUUAGAACUAAUCCAAAUUGUACUACACAGCCCGGUACGCACAUUGAAUCCAAAUAAACUACAAUCCAAAUAAGUGCAUGUAGUGUAUUAAACAUAACAUUACAAAUCUGUUUAGUGAG